AACAACAACAACAAAUAUGGCGGAGUCUGUAUUGUCAAACACGGAAGAAGAAGGAUACAACCAUAAAUAAACCAAGAAGUUUAUGAAGAAGGGAUCACUGGAUUUUGUCACUUUGGUACAAGAAACAGGAAAGGAUAUCAUAGACCACCUUACUUAAACGGAAGCAUAGGAGCUGUUGAAGGAAAUUGCUGCCAGACAGUCAGCAGUUAUCACUGACAGCCUGUCCUGGCACAGCUUGGACCAUCCUCAAGCUAACCAUGAUGGUGUGUUUGCAAGAAUUGUCCAUUUGGUAGACCAUGAUGAAGACCAGCUUUGUUGUAGCAUGGCCUGACAAUACUGUACAAGCCAGAGACCAAAAAAGGGUUAAGUGGUGACUGAUCCUCUCAUCCUCCUUAUCCAGGAAACGUUUCGGAACAACGUGUUGGCACUGAAGAUGUGGAGGACACAGAUUGAUCUCAGUACAUCCUUUGGAUACAUGGCCACCUUCAAAGGGACGACAACAAAACUGUACCUGCCUUUUUUUUGAAAGGAAGUAGUUAAUAAAAUUAUUGUUAACAGCUUUUUUAGUCUUGUUGUUUAAGAAUGCUUCCAACAUUUAAGUGGAUAAACGGUUGUUUUAAAUUUGAAUCUUCAGUAAUGCAUUCUUUAUUAAAUGAUGUCAUCU